UCGUCCGUUCAUUAAAUUGCCACCGUCCGACUUGCCAACCCAUUUUGGCGACCUGCUCCUAAGCAAGGAAGGUGCCGACAUUACAUUUCAAGUUGGCGGCAAAAAGUUAGCUGCACACCGCUGUGUGCUUGCAGCCAGAUCUACUGUCUUCAAGACACAACUCUAUGGUGGCGCCAUUAGUGAGGGCGCUGUUGCACUUGCACCAAGUGUUGUGAAUAUAGAUGGCAUUGAAGCAAAUGUCUUUGCUGGCUUGCUUACUUUCAUCUACACUGACGGAAUGCCUGUCUUUGAGGAUGCAAUGCCUAUUGGGUUUAUGAAUAGUGACAAAGGUGAAAAGCAUGCAACAUGGCUGCUGCAGUUGCUUGAAGCUGCAGAGAAAUAUGAUCUCAAAAAGUUGAAGUUGGUCUGUGAAGAGAAGUUUGCCAAUCUGAUAUGUGAGAAGAGGGUUGCAGACGUUAUUGUCGUGGCUGAGCGGAGACGGUGCCGCUGGUUGAAGGAGGCCUGCUUGGAGUUCAUCAAAACUCACACCAGUUUGCACAAAGCUUUUACGGCGGAUGGCCUGGAGCAGAUAAUCAGGACCUGCAGCCCCGCCGUUCUCGAAGAGCUCAUUUCCUCAUUUGCUUCCAAAGACGGUGCAGGUUCGUACUUCUUGUAUAUAGACAUAUAGUACCAAUCCGACCCUAGAUAUGGCAGGGUCACUGUCCAUGCAUGUGUCAAUCGUUCAGUGGCUUUGAGUACUUACUGUUCUAACUCUGAUUGCAAGUUUGUGUGUCAUGCAUCCCACUAAAUAUAUCUUUUCUGCACUCUUUCAUUUGCAUCAGUUGCCACCAGGCGCAGUUGGCUAAGCUGAAGCCGGAGAUGCUGGAUCCAAGAGGCGCAGGACGGAUGAGGCCUAGAGAUCAUGCUGGGUUUCUCUAGUUUGCCUUAGAGCUGAUGUUGAAGCUGGAAACCCCAGCAAAGCAUCUUAUCUUUUGUUCUGGUUGAAUGUUGGAAUACUGAAUAUGCAUGCAUGGGGUCUUUGGUAGACCGUCCGUUUGGGUAAAAUGCCUUUUAUCUGAAAAAUAUAAUGAAGAUAACAUCUUCUGGCAAUCAUGAACUUGGAAAGGGUGGUUAUGGUGUGGUUUUCAAAGGAAGACUACAUGAUGAUGGACCGAUUACUGUGAAAUUCUUGCAUUGUCUCAAAGAAAAAGUCAGGAAUUUCAGCAAAUGUACGUGUUUUCCAAAAAUUCUUCAAAAUGUGUUUAUUCAAAAAUUUCACAACUGUUAGAGAAAUGAUUGGGAUUCCAAUUUUUUUUCAUGUAUUAUAAUUUGUUUUGAAUUUCAAUCAAUGUUUCCGUUUUCAUAAUUUUCCCAAAAAUUUCAAAAAAUGAUGGUCUUAUGCUUCUGUUACAAAAAUUGUUCGCAAUUACAAAAAUGUUUGUUGUUUUUCCAUUUAUUUUCUGGAGUUGCAAAAAAAAUUCACGUUCCAAAAAUUGUUUGUGUUUCCAUAAUAAUUUGGAAUUAGAAAAAUGUUGCGGUUUAAAAAACAUUUGCGUUUCAAAAAUCUUCAUGAUUUUUAAAAAAUGUUUCACUUUAUAUAUUUGUUCAAAAAAUCUGAAAAGUGUUUGGGAUUCACAAAAAAAUCACGUUUUGUUCCAAAAAAAUAUUUUGCGUUGGAAGUUUUUAAAAAUAUUCUCCAUGAUGUUAUUAUUAAGGUUUCGCGCUGCCCCGUUGUACCCCGUUGGUCGAAGUCUGGAGGUCCCUUGUUCGAACUCUUGCCGGCUUGGUUUCAUUUUUGAAGCGCUGCUAUAUGCUACCUUAAUGGGCCAGCCCAAUCGGUGGUCUUCUGUACGUUUACGUCCAGCGGGCUACCCACCACCGUACAUACAAAAGUAAGUACGACUUGUGAAAUUACUAUAUUACCCUUUAUACGUUUUAGGAGGGGGGUUGUACCGAAGCGGGUCUCUUGGGUAAAAUGCCUUUUAUCUGGAAAAUAUAAUGAAGAUAACAUCUUCUGGCAAUCAUGAACUUGGAAAGGGUGGUUAUGGUGUGGUUUUCAAAGGAAGACUACAUGAUGAUGGACCGAUUACUGUGAAAUUCUUGCAUUGUCUGCAAAGAAAAUGGGGAUACUUACUUAAUGAAACGGAUUAACAAAGAGGGGAGACCCGUUAGUCCGAUCAAGAACGCAACGAAAUGGGGUAACGUCCUAGGUGUCAUCGCCUGUGAAAACUGUGGCAUCAACGUUAGAUGCUUAAGGGGACCUAAAAACAAGCCAUGGCCAAACCUCCUAUUAGGAAAGAUGAGAGAUAUUUUCAAGUUCAACGACCGAGCCAAUGCACUUGCAGAGUGCCAUGCGUGUGUUCACUAAGGCCUCGAAUAGUAAUAGAUACCGUGCAUAUAAGCUACUAGACGAUUGGUGUAAUUUAGAGGAUAUCAAAAAGCUAUAUCCUAGUACUACCAAUGAGGAAUGGAAGGAGUUUCUUCAUUACCGAGACUCGGAUACAUACAAAUAGGACAAAGAAAAGUUUGCGCAGCUCCGAGGCCAAAUUGUAGGGAAUCACAGUCUAGGCACCCGUGGUUGUGAAGUUAAGCAGCCAAUCUGGGAUAAGCAUGAUGAUAUGUUUUCUUCACAAGGUCAACAGACACCCUUUAGUAAUAUCUUGGAUCCGUGUGCCAAAAUGUAUUUUCGAUCUCUAGCAUUGCUUCAUAAAGAAACCAGAUUCUACUACUACGAGGACCCUGUGGUUGCGAAGGCGGCCGAAAGAGCAGUACGUAAUUAGCCUAUACAACCAUGCUUUCCAUCAUAUAUAUGUUUAGGAGCAGUUUCUAAAUGAUAUUAGUUUGUUCAUGUAGGCAAAUUUUACCCAAAACAAACCAAGCUCUAAAGAGUCGCUAGAUGCCCCAAGGUGGUCAUCCGACCCAAUUCUGUAUGCCGUCCAAAGGAAGAGAGAGCCCACAUAAUGCCGUAAGCUCGGUUCCGGUAGUACUUUCUGGGAUGCCUACUAUCCCCCAAGGAAACGAUGACUAAGUCGGAAAAGAAAGAAGGGGCAGAGACAAUAUAGAUCAGUUAGUGAACGAAAGGUUAAAGGAAGUCUUACCUGAUUUUAUGGCAGAGGUUCGGAAGCAUAUUUAGUCCAAAAGGUUGACAAAUAUGCUAGAAAUGGUUGAUACGGUGCCGUCCCUUGCUCCCACAAAGAUCAGAAGCCCCUCGGUCAUUAGUGUCAUGCAUGGUCAUGGUGGGUCACCACAUUCGUUGGAUGAAGAAUUUCCUUGCACUCUCCUAGCUUGAGUGAGUACUAGCGGUGACUUGUUGGAGGUAGCAAAAGCUAGUCUUUAUAGGAAAUGUCAUGCACAACAACAAAUUGGAUGAGAACAUGCGGAAGGUUUCUUUGCUUAACGUGUUCCCACAAUAGCACAAUUCGAUUCUGCCACAGAACAUUUAUAGAAGAAGGUGAUGACCAUAUCCCCUUGCGGAAUGCAUGCUUUGAUGGUUACCUCAAGUGGCCUGCAAUGCAUAUCAUAAUGGAAAAGCCGUCCCCAAACAAAACACCGUCUCCAAGCAUCCCCGGCAUUGCAACACGAUCACCAUCUCCCAACAUCCUCUAGGUCUUUGCAACCCCGUAUCGGCUAAGGAUGUGCACGAAGAGCACAUGCUUGAAGAACCACAAAAUCAUAAUUAUGCAGCAGAUGAGGAGACGCCGCCAGCCCAUCCCGAGACGCAACCUUGCAAAAAAACAAAGUUUACUCCAACAACACUCAAGAAUUUGGUGGCCCAAAAAGCGAUGUCUUGUCCGUCCGCUUUUGUCCAAACGGUGAAAAAAAGAAACACGCAUCUAAAUGCUAUGAAAAUGAAUAGUAAGGCAAAAACUUCUUUCACCACAAGUACAAAUGGUAGACCACCUGUAAAGGAGGCAUCGAAGAAGUACUUGGCAUAUGAACCCAAAAGCACCUGUCUAUAUCCCGUGUCUAAAAAUGCUACCAGACAAUGUGUACGAGCACCUGAGCUAGCCAAUAAUAAGCAAGGAUCGAUUAUUAACCCAACACAAUACACUGCGAAGGUGCCAAAGGUAUAUACUUUGUUUGAAAAAUUCAGCAGGGACAAAAUAUAUGUAGAUUUUAAAGAGAUGUUCUAUAUGUUCAGAUUCUAUAGUCUUGAAACUUGCCUAAUGAGGCUAUGAGCGUUUUUUUCAAGCCAUUAAGAUAAAAAGGAAGAAUAUUUUUGAUGUCGAUAUAGCCGACCCUUAUCUCAUGAAGGAGAAACACCUAAAAAUGAGGAAGGGAAGCAGUGCUUGAAGAGUUAUCUUCUGAAUUUAAUACAACAAAACACGCUUAAAAACUUCCUCGUGCCGUACCAACCCAUGUUCACUAAUAUCCGAAGACUGGUUUUGCAACCUGUCAUUUUUAACAUUUUGUUUGUACUUUGACCAACUGUUAGACUUCUAUACUUAUUUAUAAGCUUUUUAUAAAUAAGAGCCAUACAAAAUAUUUUUUUAAAUAUAAAUAUGAUAAUUAGUCAGAUCACACGUUGUUAAAAUUUUAGUAAUAAUAUUAUUUAUGAUAUUGUUUUAAUAUCUAUCAUUAAAAAUUACAUGUGCCCAGUACUAAAUUUAAAUCAUAUUUGGAAUGAAAGUUACAUGAUUUUGCAUUUGAUUACAUCGUGCCUUAAAAUACAAUUGAACCAAAUCACUAUACUGUGGGUAAGAUACUGAAACAUAAAGUUGCAUGGGUUCAUAGAUUAAUUUGUCAUACUUACAUGACUAUAGAGUAUAUAUGUAUGUGUUUAUCCUUUAAACAUAUGGUCUCAUAAAUAUCUUGACAAUAGUUUCUAGUUUAUUAUUAGGUAUAUGCAAAUAGAAUAUCUAGAAACAUUUAAAAUAUUUAGGAGGAGCUUGGUAUCAAAUCAUUAACAUGAUGAUUUAUUCUUUUGUUUCAAAUGUUAUAAAAGAUUAUAAUACGUUGUUACAUGUAGUUGCUCUAUAUUUGAUAAUCAAUUACAGUCGAUGUAGCUAAUACAGCUUUGUGUAGAACAUGUAGGGUGUUCAUUAGAGAUACUACCAAUCUAGCUAAACAAGCAGCCUUGAUUUUGAGCUAGGAUUUUCCAUUCUUGGAGGCGACAUCUCCAGGUGGAGGUAAUGUUGUGCGGACUAUAAUUGUUGGUCAGUUCUUCAUAGCCAGUACCAAAAGGCAGUUACACUUGCGUCAAAAGAAGAGAAAAAUCAACCAAUCUGUGGUGGGAUGGUCAGAGAGACAAUGGUAUGCCCACCCCAUCAGGGUUCAUGUCUUCGUGCUCGCAUUACUCCUAGAUUUAUUUCAAGAUUUUCGACGAUGCGCUUUCAGUGAGAGGAGACGCUCCUGUUGACGACGAGGCGCCUACGCUGACUUCGUAAAUCUCAAGAUGAUAUGCCAGUUCAGUCUUCCGAAGGUAGGGUAUGUGUGCGCGCGUUCUUAGAGGUGAGUGUGCGUCUGUGUUAAAAGUUACUGUUGAUGAAGCUGUCACAUGAGGAAAACCCUAUUCGCCGCAUUUUGCGGCGAAUUGACGAGGCUCCGCACACUCCCGGGACGAUUUGGGCCAGCCCAGUUGCGGUUACCACCUGUUUUGGAUACCUUUUAGGAGGUUCCCUGAACCGUUUUUUUUUUCGGUUUUUAUAUUUGUUUUUCUUUUUUACAUUAUCUGUUUCAGUUUUUUUCUUUUUCCUUUUUUUGUUUUUUGUUUCUUCUUUUAGUUUUCGUUUUCAAGUUAAUGUAUCUUUUCAACAAAUUUUAUUUGUUUGGUAUUUUAUUUCUUUUUCUUUUCUUCUCUUAUUUCCAUACUUUUUUCAAAAUAUUCAAGUUUUGUUCAUGUUUCCAAAAAAUGUUCAGCUUUCGAAACAAUGUUCUCAAAUUCAGAAAAUUUUCUCAUUACACAAAAAGUUCAAAACUUUCGAAAUUCAGAAAAUGUACCGGAUUUCAAUUUUUUUUGUUCAUUUAUUAAAAAAAUUGACACUUGCAACUUUGUUAGGAUUUUUUUUAAAAUUGCUCUCUAUUUGAAAAUUUGUUCUCAAGAUUCAAGAAAGGUUCAUGCAUCAAAAAAUUUGUUCGGGCUUCGAAAUUUGUUCUCUGUUUCUUUUCUUUAUGUUUUUUAUUUCAAAAUUUCACAACUUCGCAAAAUUUGUUCGCAAAUUUAAGAAAAAUGUUUUUUUUCAAUUUUUGUUCGUGAGUUUCAAUAAAUGUUCCUAUUUCAAAAUUUUCCAUGUUUCCAAAUUUUGUUUGCAUUCAAAAAAUGUUUAGGAAUUUCAAAAAGUGUUCCAGCUUUCCAAAUUUGUUCAUGAAUUUAUAAAAUAUUCAUGUUUUCCAGUUUGGUUCACAAAUUGUAAAAAUGUUCGUAAAUUCCAUAAAUUUGUUUGGGAGUUUGAAAAAAUGUUCCCGUUCCAAAAUUUGUUUGCAAAUUUCAAAAAAUGUUCAUAUUUAGAAGUUUUGUUCGGUUCAAAAAAGAUUUCGUUUCCAAUUGUUUUUUCAAAUUUUUAAAAAAUGUUCAUUUCUUCAAAUUUUGUUCUGGGCUUUCAAAAAAUGUUCACGUGCAAAAGUUGUUUGUGUUUCCAAAUUUUGUUUUGAAAUUUGAAAAAUUGUUCUAUUCAGUUUUUUGGGUAGUUUAAAAAAUGUUUCCGUUCUAAAAAAUAUGUUCGCAUCUCGAAAAUUUGUUUGUGUGUUGAAAAAUGUUUGAGUUUUCUAAAACUUUGUAAAUAGAACUAAUAAUGUUCAUGUUUGAUAAAAAAAUUCACGUUUUGUUUUUGAAGAAAAAGGUUUUGUGUUCGAAGUAGAUUUGGCUUGUUGUACGGGCGUCCUAAGUUCAUUUAGUUACGCAAUGUUAAAGUACAUAAAACGCUAGUCAGCUUGAUUGGCAAGGAGGACGCAGUCGCAGUCGUUUGGUCGCCAGUUCGAUUCCCGGCAUCGCGCCUGGCUCAUUAUUUGCUUCCCUUUUUUCUCACGCGGUACAACUAGAUGGGCCGGCCCAGUCAGGCUGCCUCCCUUGCGUUGCGACACCAAUUUGACGCAAGGAGCGUCCAGUAGGAGCUCCCAUCACAUGAAACAUGAACUAGAGGGGAAAUUGUUGCUUUCAUUCUAGGCCCAUCUACUAACUAAGCCCAUCCAACCAAUGCAAAUAUGAUGAUAAGGAUCCUAAGCCCAACAUAAUUCAGCGUCGUUGUUGGGCCAACCGAGACUUUUUAGUUUUGUGCUGCAACAGUUUUUACACGUGGGAUUAAAUCAUUCAUGCUGAUGUAAGAGUAAUAACUAAUUAAGGAGUACUUCUCGGGAGCUCUCCCAAGGGUCACUUGGAGUGGUCUAGGAGCGCACCAGUUGAUGCCCUCCGGCCGCCGCCACGAAUCGUAUUUUGGACGCUCCCUUUGGAUUUGUUGUUGGGCCAACCGAGACUUUUUAGUUUUCUGCUGCAACAGUUUUUGCACGUGGGAUUAAAUCAUUCAUGCUGACGUGAGAGUAAUAACUAAUUAAGGAGUACUUCUUAGGAGCUCUCCCAAGGGUCAUUUGGAGUGGUCUAGGAGCGCACCAGUUGACGCCCUCCGGCCGCCGCCACGAGUCGUGUUCUGGACGCUUCCUUUGGAUUAUUUUUUUUGUAAGUGUUUUUGGCUCUUAGAUGAUUUUUUUCAGUUUUUGUUUGGCCUCUCGGUUUUCCUCAGCUUUCGGGCCAAAAGAAAUUCAGCAACUUCUUUUUUCAAAAGAACACGUUUUUUUUGUGAGAGGCGCAAAUUUACUCCCCGUGUAGGCACAGAUUUGCUUACGGAAGAGGCACGCACAUAUCUCUGCGAAAGGGAAAAACACGUUUUAUUUUCAUCCGUAAGAGGCACAUAUUUGCUAUUUUUUUUCCGACUGCGACAGGCACGGAUUUGCUUCUCGUGGGCACAGAUUUGCUUCAGUGAGAGGUACGAAAUGAAAAAAACCGUGCUUUCUUUUUUCUUCUGUGAGAGGCACGAAUUUGCUCCUCCGCAAAAAACAAAGACUCAUGGAGGCACGGAUUUGCUUCCGCGAGAGGCACGGUCGUGCCUGUAGGAAAGGAAAAAAACAUAUUUUCUGUUUUACUUUCCUUCCGCGAGAGACAUGGAUUUGCUUCUCAUGGAGGCACCGAUCUGCUUCCGCGAGAGGCACCGUCGUGCCUCUCGGAAAGGGAAAACGUAUUUUCUUUUAUUUUUUCUUUGGCUCCUGGUUCGAAUGUUUUCCUCUGGAUUUUUCCGUGAAAAAAACCUAUCCACGUGGGAUCUAGUUUUGGAAAUCUCGAUGCAAGGAAUCCAACGAUGAAAAUAGUUCGAGAUUUGGACACACGUUUGAGAGAUAAAAGGUUUUGAGUAAACCGAUCUAUGAAAAAAAAACUCUCAGGUUGCGACAAGUGAUCAGUACGCACAUGCAGUGCGACACUUAUCGCGACCUACUUUGGUGGGAGUGAUCUUCUCAUAGAAUACUCUUUAAUUAGUGAUUCCAAAGAAGAUGGGACUAAAUCGAGAAAUACAUGAUCAAAAUGUUUAGAGCUGUUACGAUCAGGAGUCCGAUGGUUGAUAUGUUCGGGAUGAGAUCAAGCGUACUCCCUCUGAUCCGAUAUAAAUGUGCGGGAAAACAACUAAGUCUGGUACAACUCAGGCGCCGUUUGGAUUAGUGUCUCAGCUCGUGUCUGGCUGGUUUAGGAUACAGACAUGCUUCCAUCGUUUUUCAUUUCAUUUAGACAGGAAGCUGUAAAAACAGGUGUAAAAACAUACGCCUGUUUCAAGUAGGGUCUCAUAGUAUACUUGGAGAUAAUAACACCAAUGGUGUUUAAACUUAUCAUUGAUGUUUAGUUCAGUGUCUGAACUUGAAAAAUACAUCGAACUGGUUCUAAAACCUGGCAUGAGCGUGCAAAUUCGGAGCUAAUCCCAUCAAUAGACGUAUACAGUACACUGACUACACUGACGCGGCACAGCUUCGCUGUAUAUUUCUUUGCCUACACACAUGUGUAUGAACUGUGGGUCCAACAUGUCGGCAAGAAGGGAAAAUUACAACUAAAAAAUGCAUCUGCUCAUAAUCGAAAGGGCAACCUCGCACUAGGCGAGCUUGCUGUGUUAGGAGAUUGGUGGGUAUUGACCCAAACGUAUGUUCAGAACUGAAAAUCGUAAAAAAAAUCCCUUCUUUAUAAUGACAGGAGCAUAACACAUUUGUAUUCACUGGGCCUGCCGAGCUUUGUUAAAAUGUCAUGCCAAUAAAACAAAAAUUACUAACUUGGAAAAUAGCCUGCAGUUAGCUGAAACUUGUCCGCACGAAUAAACUAUAUCAUUCUUUGCCAGUUUCAGGCACUAGUAGAAAAGGGGGCAAUGGUCCAGGCCCGGCCAGCCCAUUAGUCCCGGUUCAAUCCAGAACCGGGACCAAUGGGGGCAUUGGACCCGGUUCGUGAGCCCCGGGGGCCGGCCGGGCCACGUGGGCCAUUGGUCCCGGUUCGUCUGGACCUUUUGGUUCCGGUUGGUGGGACGAACCGGGACCAAUGGGCCCCGCUUUUGGCCCACCACCAUUGGUCCCAGUUGGUGGCAUGAACCGGGACCAAAGGCUGCCUUUUAGUCCCGGUUCAAGCCACCAACCGGGACCAAUUAGUUGCCUAUAUAUACCCCUCGCCCGCGAACAGAUCACUCCCAGUGCUCUGUUUUUCGUGGCUGGCGAGGGGAGAGCUUUGUGGUGCUCUAGCUCACCUCCUAUGCACACGAGGUGUUCGAUGGAAUGCCCGAGCCACACUACUUAAGCUUUCUCCUCUCCAAGCUCGACCUCCAAGCUUCAUUUUCCUCAACAUUUGUCUAGGUUUAGCGGUCCGUCACGUCCCGUCCCCGUCUUCACCGCCGUCGAUCGCCCGCGCCGAUCUCGUCGCCGGCACCACCGUGGUGAGCCUCUUGUUCUUAUCUUCUUUCUGAAAGGAAAAAAUAAAUUCUUACUUGUAUGUUUAUAUAGAUACUUGUAUAAUUUUCUUACUUUUAUUAUUGCAUCUUAUAUAGUGCGAUGGUUUUGGUAUCCGCCCCCGUCGGCCUCGUCCUAUCUAUGAUUCGGAUGUGGUAUAUAUUAUCUUUUCAUAACUAUUGGUUCAUUUAUUGUUUAUGACAAUUAUGCCGACCAACGUGACAUAGAUUUGAUUUAUCUAGGAGGUUGUUGAACCGGAAAUUCCAACCGACCCUAUUGUCGAGAUGUUAAAUUUAGUUGAAGAAGAAAACAAUUUCUUGAAAGAAAAAAUUAGAAAAAUUGAGGAGGAGAAGAUGAUAUUGGAGUUGCAUGUUGCGGAUGUCGUCGAUGAUCACAAGAUCAAGAUGGAUGCAAUGCACUUGAAGAUUAGAAAGAUUAGAAAAUAUGCCAUUCAUACCGAGUGUCCGUGUCAAAACCGGCGGAUCUCGGGUAGGGGGUCCCGAACUGUGCGUCUAGGCGGAUGGUAACAGGAGACGAGGGACACGAUGUUUUACCCAGGUUCGGGCCCUCUCGAUGGAGGUAAAACCCUACGUCCUGCUUGAUUAAUAUUGAUGAUAUGGGUAGUACAAGAGUGGAUCUACCACGAGAUCAAGGAGGCUAAACCCUAAAGCUAGCCUAUGGUAUGAUUGUUGUAAUGUAUGUUGUGUCCUACGGACUAAAGUCCUCCGGUUUAUAUAGACACCGGAGGAGGCUAGGGUUACACAGAGUCGGUUACAAUGGUAGGAGAUCUACAUAUCCGUAUCGCCAAGCUUGCCUUCCACGCCAAGGAAAGUCCCAUCCGGACACGGGACGGAGUCUUCAAUCUUGUAUCUUCAUAGUCUUGGAGUCCGGCGGACGAUGAUAGUCCGGCUGUCCGGACACCCCCUAGUCCAGGACUCCCUCAGUAGCCCCUAAACCAGGCUUCAAUGACGAUAAGUCCGGCGCGCAUAAUGUUCGGCAUUGCAAGGCGGGUUCCUCCCUUGAAUAAUCCAGAGAAGAUCAUGAACACCAGGAUAGUGUCCGGCUCUGCAAAAUAAAUUCCACAUUCCACCGUAGAGAGAAUAAAAUGUACACCAGUCCAAUCUGCUGACGUAUUAUGCGGCAUGACAUCACGCCGCUACCAAGCCCUUGUUUGAAUGGUUUUUUUACUAUACCACCUCAGCACGUUUAGCGAAGCGGUUUCCUUGGCACGUCUUGUCGAAGCAGAGAUCGUGUUCCCCUUAUUCCGGGAUUCUCAUCAAUACGGACGUGGGUAACCCAACCGCGCCAUUGAUGGUGGCGCUUGGGAGAUAAGCGAGUUUUACCAGGCCGGUGGGGGACGCAUAGUUUUUCGUCCGCCUAUAUAUAAGGGAUAAGGAUUUACCUUCUCACCUACGCCUUCUUCCUCCUUUGCUUAUCCAUCUCCACGCACUCAAGCUCCAACGCCCAAGCUCGCGCAUCUCGCCUCGACCUUCUCCGAAUAUGUCCGGAGCGGGAGGCAAAUGGUUGGCCUCCACCGUUAAGGAGGAGCACAUCACCAAGCUGCGCAGCGCCGGAUACCUCUCCGGCGAUAUCGCGCAUCGGCUGCCCGACGAGGGGCAGCUCAUCCCUACCCCUGGGCCCCAUGAGAGGGUUGUCUUUCUCCCCCACUUCCUCCGCGGAUUGGGCUUCCCACUCCACCCAUUCGUCCGGGGGCUCAUGUUUUACUACGGCCUGGAUUUCCACGAUCUGGCGCCGAACUUCAUCCUCAACAUCUCGGCUUUUAUCGUCGUGUGCGAGGCCUUCCUCUGCAUCCGGCCCCACUUCGGCCUGUGGCUCAAGACCUUCAACGUCAAGCCGAAGGUUGUGAAGGGCACGCAAGUGGAAUGCGGAGGCGCCAUGUUGGGUAAGUUGCCCAACGUCCUUUGGCUCGAAGGGGCCUUCAUGGACUCCGUCAAGGGGUGGCAAUCGGGGUGGUUCUACAUCACCGAGCCGCGCAAACCCACAUGGGCGGCGGCCCCCGAGUUUAGAUCUGGCAUCCCCACGCAGCUCACCUCCUGGAAAGAGAAGGGCUUGCUGUGGGGCAAUCCAAAGGAGCUGACGGGACUCCGAGCCUGCAUCCAGAAGCUGGUGAGCAAUAAGCUCAGGCUCGUCGACGUGGUCCAAGUCAUGCUCAUCCGCCAGAUUCUCCCAUGCCAAGAACAGGCAUUCAAUCUGUGGGAGUUCAAUCCGGAACAGCACCAGGCGCUGAGCGGGCUCUUCGAUACGACAUACGAAGGCGCCUGGAGGGUGCUGUUUAAGGGCGCCAAAGCCCCCGCAUCCGCGACGGAAGAUCGCGGGUUUUGCUCGCAGCAUCCAGCUGAUGAGGUAAGUGAUUCGACCCCUUUACAGGACACUUGUGGUAAUUAAACUAAUUCUGAGAGGGUUUCAACCUCUCUUUUCCUUUGACAGGAACGGAUGGAGAAGGCCAAGCAGCUCAUAAGCCUGGCUCCCAUGCCAGAAGACCCAGUGGACACCCGUUUAGCGGGGCUGCUGGUUCCGGCACCGCACAUGGUGCCGGAGAAGAAGGCCAAGAAGGUGGCCGCGGGGACUCGGAAGAGUUCCCGCAAUCAGGCGUCUGACAACGAGGCGGACUCCUCCCCCGAAGACGAGGAGGAGGAAGAGGACUCUCUCCCGGAGGAGGGAGAGAAGAAGAGGAAGGCUUCCCCAAUAGGGGAGGCCGAAGGGUCCAAGAGGGGGAGGACUAUCCCCCCGGACAGUUUCGCCAACACCACCGUGGGCGAGGAGGAGUGGCCUUUAAGGGCCAGGCGUCCGGCGAGAUCGUAAGUAUCCGGAUCCUUGAUAUGCAACUUCUUUCGUGUCGCGUAGUGUCCUUCUAAUGCCGCAUUCUGUCCGUAGUCCGGCCGAUGAUGAUCUCCCCGCUUCAUCGAGCGGGUCGUUGGCCCCGUCGGAUGUGGAUUCACUUCCGACGGCCUCUACCCCCCGCACCAACGAGGACGCCGAGGUGGGAUCCCAAAGAGGGACCCAUCAGGAGGAGGCUCCGGAGGCGCCGUCAGGAUGCCUCCCGGACUUUGUGCCGGACUCUACAUCGGAACCCGCAGUGGUUCCAGAGUCCGGCGGGCAGCCCCUUCGAAAGAAGGGCAAGACCGUGACACCGGCGACCUCCGUCUAACCGGAGGCGCCGGAUAACUUGUUGGAGGCGCUUAAAGGCGCUUCCAUCGAGGAAGAACACCGCACUAUCAUGAGUGCGGUGAUUCAAAAGGUUUAGCUUGCCAAGAGCGGGCUGACCGAAGCCUGCAGCAGCCUUCUAACAGGCUUUGAGGUAAGAAGUUAAAAUUAUGUAAUGUAAUACCGCAUAGACAGUAGCCCCUGAUGCUCAGUUCGGUGUUCGGAAAGAAAAACCAGACUGAGGAUCUAACAAGAUAUACGCAGGGUUGCUUAAAAUAUGUCAAUAUGGGUUUGCAGGCUGCGCUGCUGACCUCUUCCGCACUGACGGCGGAGGUCGAUGUGUUGAAGCAGGAUCUCGAGCGGUCCGACCAAGAGCUCGGCCAUGCCAAGAAGCAGCUCGAGGACAAAGAAGGUGAGUAACACCACUUUGAAUAAUUACCUUACAGAAAAGGAUUUUGGUUGCAAUAAAAUGAACAAGGAUAAUAUGGGUAUUGCAGGGGCCACGAACGAGGUGGCAGCCCUGAAGGAGGCUGUGUCCGCGGCCGAACGCAGUACAGCCGCGGAACGGGCCGAGCGAGAAAAGCAGGAGGCACGGGUGGCAGAAGUACGGCAAGAGCUCCAGGCUCUCAUGGAGAAGCAUGAGAGUUUGGAGCGUGACUCCAAGACUCGAGAGUCCGAGCUUGCCUCGGCUCUCAAAAGUGCCAAAGCCGCCAAGGCCGAGGCCCAUAAGGCCCUUCAGGAGGUUGAGGAUGUGAAGAAAAUAGCGGCGGGUAAGGCAUUUUUCAUGCAAAGCAAGCAUGUUAAUAUAAACUACCUUACACUUACUCGCAUUCGGAGCUCUCCAGGGGCGUUUGCAGAUCUGCCACGUAGUGCGUCCGAUGCCGCCGCAUUCUAUCGUGGCGAGGAGGGGAGCUCGACGGAGAAAGUCUUCUGGUCUCAGUACGCUGAGGCCGGACAUCCGGUGCCCCCAAGCGACCAGCUGAAGCAGCUGGUCGAACUCCACAAGGUAGAUGAGGAGGCCAUGAAAGGCCUUAUAGUCCGGCUGUGGCCUGGACAGGCCAUGCCUGGGAGCUACUUUGGCCUCGUGCGGCGGCUGGUGGAUGCAUGCCCCUGGGUGGAGGUCAUCAAGCGCUCCGCCUAUAUUGAAGGUGCUCGUCGGGCCCUUGCCCGCACAAAGGUGCAUUGGGGCAGGUUGGAUGCGGAGAAGCUUCUCGCGGACCCACCGCCACCGGGCAAGGAGUAUCGCACGCCCGAAAUGUAUUAUAAAACUGUCCUGAAGGGAGCCCGCGAUAUUGCGGAUGAGUGCCCCAGAAAUGUAAUCUUUGAGUAAACUUGCUAUGUAUUAUCCUGUGCGCUGAAACUUUGUUCAUGUGCGCCUUAAGCAACGCUUGUUUAAUUUAAAAUAUUACCUUCUGUGCGGCCGUAUAUAAAAUCUAAGAGAUGGCAAGUCGUUGACUUCAGCCCCCAAGCCACGAGUGCUGGGGUGUUCGGAAUAAACUGGAGCACUCUUGUUCCCAUUUUUGGGUCCAUCUAGAGAGGCGUUCAACACAACGAACAAGGCAACCGGACUUAUAAUGCUUGAACAGUCUCACUUAGCCAUAGAAUUCUAUAAUUUUAAAUUUCGGCGAAGCCCCUGGUAUUCGAAAGACCGAAUCCGGGGCGUUAUCCACGCCUUCGUCGGACAUGGUCCGGAACUUCGCUCGAAGCGGCGUGAGUCUUUAAGGACCCGAAAAGACCUCUCGAACAGCGACCAGUCUCUCGCCUUAUCAUGCCAGUCAGUUUUAGCUUUCUCCACUGAGGCGCUCUCCCGGCUCAACCGGGGCGCAAUCGCAGUGGUUCUCCCAGUGCCACCUUAGCCGACAGAACGGAACGUAAGGCACCAAAACGUGGGAGUCGGGCAAACCCAACUAUUGACCCAAGACAUGAUUCGGAGCCGAUUCAUAUAAUGCUAUAAGUUCGGGGUGCCGCACUUAUGAAAGUGUUCGGACUUAUCACACCAUAGUGUGGGGAACAUAAGCUCCUGGUGUAUUAGGCCGUACCGAAAUGUACGGAUGCAAGAUGUCAUGUAAUGCACAUAUAUAUAUAAAAGUAAUGCAAUUGCCGUCGAAAAGUGCUGCAUUGUUUAUUAAAGAGGGUCUGCUAUGAGUGCGGACUGAUACAAAUAGUGCGGUAAGCAAGGGAUUUGGACUAAUUAAACAUGUCCCCCUCCAGGGGUGAGCUACGGACUUGGUGUAUAUAAUGGAAUUUAAUGCUCGUAAUUGAGACCACCUGGGUGUUCGUCGCAGCCUUCUCUCGUCCCUGACUGUUGCAUCAUGAGUUCGGUAGGUUCACCGCCGGACAGGGCCUCUGGUUAACGGAGUCCUGUGUACACAAAGAAGGAAAAUAAUAAUAAAUAAAAAAAGGGGGCACACUUGCGAGCCCCUGGUGUGGUCGAGCCACACUCUGGGUCCAUUGCGAUCGUGCCCCUUCCCCUGCGCCCAUGGUCUCUCCAAAGCGUAAUGAUGUACGCGGAGGGUUGUUCUUGCAAUCAUGCGCGGGCGGGGGUUGGGGCCGCAUUGCUACGCGUGCUCUGAUCGCGCCAGGUGGUCUUGGUUGGUAUUGCUUCGGGCGCGUUUUACUGUAUCCGGCCGUUUAACGGCCGGACUCGAGAAUUGCCUUAGAAGGCUGCUCUGUACUUCUGCCGCGAGAGCCGCUGUAUGUUCCUCCGUUCGGAGGGAGCGUUCCGUAUUCCCAUUGAUCGUGAUGACUCCACGAGGGCCUGGCAUCUUGAGCUUGAGGUAUGCAUAAUGCGGCACCGCGUUGAAUUUUACAAACGCGGUUCGUCCGAGCAGAGCGUGAUAGCCGCUGCGAAACGGGACUAUGUCGAAGAUUAACUCCUCGCUCCGGAAAUUGUCCGGUGAUCUGAAGACCACUUCCAGUGUGACUGAGCCUGUACAGUUGGCUUCCACACCUGGUAUGACACCUUUAAAGGUUGUCUUUGUGGGUUUAAUCCUUGAGGGGUCUAUGCCCAUCUUGCGCACUAUAUCCUGAUAAAGAAGGUUCAGGCUACUACCGCCGUCCAUCAGGACUCUCGUGAGGUGAAAUCCAUCGACGAUUGGGUCUAAGACCAAUGCGGCGAAUCCGCCAUGGCGUAUGCUGGUCGGAUGGUCUCUUCGAUCGAAAGUGAUCAGACAAGAGGACCAUGGAUUGAACUUCGGGGCGACUGGCUCCAUCGGGUAGACGUCCCUUAGUGCACGCUUCCUCUCCCUCUUGGGUAUAUGGGUUGCGUAAAUCAUGUUCACCGUCCGCACUUGAGGGAGGAAACCCUUCUGUCCUCUAUUGUUCGGCGAUCGAGUCUCUUCCUCGUCGUCGCUGUUUAGCACCUUGUCAUUGUUUUUGGCAAUUAACUUACCUGCCUGCUUGAACACCCAGCAAUCUCUAUUAGUGUGAUUAGCUGGUUUUUCAGGGGUGCCAUGUAUCUGGCAUAAGCGGUCGAGUAUUCGGUCCAAAUUGGACGGACCCGGAGUGGUUCUUUUGAAUGGCUUCUUCCGUUGACCGGGUUUAGAGCCUCGGAAUCCGGCGUUGACUGCCGUAUCCUCCUUAUCGUCGCCGUUAAUGCGGCGUUUGUUUUUGUUUCGACGUGACCUGCCAUUGUUGUCCUUAGUAUCCGGACUACCAGAAUUUUUACGCAGAUUGUUGCUGCGAGCUAGCCAGCUAUCCUUUCCUGCGCAGAAGCGGGUCAUUAAUGAUGUGAGGGCUACCAUAGAUUUUGGCUUUUCCUGUCCCAGGUGCCGGGCUAGCCAUUCGUCGCGGAUGUUAUGUUUGAAGGCUGCAAGGGCCUCUGCAUCCGGACAGUCGACGAUUUGGUUUUUCUUUGUCAAGAACCGUGUCUAGAAUUGUCUGGCCGAUUCGUCUGGCUGCUGAAUGAUGUGGCUUAGGUCAUCGGCGUCUGGUGGUCGCACCUACGUGCCCUGGAAGUUGUCGAGGAAUGCGGCUUCCAGGUCUUCCCAACACCCAAUUGACUCUGCGGGGAAGCUGUUUAGCCAAUGCCGAGCUGGUCCUUUAAGCUUGAGUGGGAGAUACUUGAUGGCAUGGAGAUCGUCGCCGCGGGCCAUAUGGAUGUGGAGAAGAUAAUCUUCGAUCCAAACGGCGGGGUCUGUUGUGCCAUCGUAGGAUUCGAUGUUUACGGGUUUAAACCCUUCAGGGAUUUGAUGAUCCAUUACUUUGUCAGUGAAGCAUAGCGGGUGUGCGGCGCCUCUGUAUUGAGCAAUAUCACGACGCAGCUCGAGAGAGCGCUGUCUGCUGUGUUCGGCCCGGCCAGGGUUAUUGUAUCCAGCGCGACGGUAUUCGUCGUGGGUCGUGGGGCGCCCAUGUGAUCCGUAGAUGGAUCUGGAUUGCCUUGCUUUGUCCUCCAAUAUAUCUCGCAAGUCCGGCGCGUUUCCUCUUGGCUUCGUACUUUUGGAGCGAUGCCGGGGUACGGUCUUGGUUGGGGGCCUGGAUGCCUCUCUGUCACGACCACAGGGUGGUCGGUCAGCCGUAUCGUGCGCUGGUGAUGGAGGUAUGUAUGCUUCCUCCUCUAAUCGGGGGAACAGCUUGCGUCUUGGGUAGCUUUUGGAGGGGCGUUCGAGUUUAUACUCUUCGGCCGCGAGGACCUCGGUCCAUCGAUCGGCCAGCAGGUGCUGGUCAGCUUGAAGCUGCUGCUGCUUUUUCUUUAGGCUGUUUGCCGUGGUGAUAAGCCUGCGUUUAAAACGCUCUUGUUCGACGGGAUCCUCAGGCACGACGAAUUCGUUGUCGUUGAGGCUUGCCUCGUCUUCGGAGGGAAGCAUAUAGUUAUAAUCCUCAACCUCUUCGUCUGCCGCCCUCUCGUGAGGGCUUGCUUUUGUAUCCUCCUGCGCUGAGUCUUGCUGGAGGGGGUUAUCUUCGGCACUUUCUGGGGUGUUAUUAUCUCCUGUGCCGAAAUCUCCAUUCUUGCUCUGGCGGGAUUUAGAGCGGCGCCGCUGACGGCGGCGCUUGGGCUGUUUCUUGAAAGAAUCUGCCUCCGCUGUUUCUUCGCCGUCCCCGUCUUUUGGGGUGUCCACCAUGUAUAUGUCGUAUGACGAGGUGGUCUUCCAGUGCCCUGUAGGUGCUGGUUCCUGUUCGUCUCCGGCAUCGUCGUCCAUGGCGUCGAUGUCUUCGGAGUCGUAGUCUAGCAUGUCGGUUAGAUCGUCGACAGUGGCUACGAAGUGGGUGGUGGGUGGGCUCUAAAUUUCUUCGUCGUCCGUAUCCCAACCAUCCUGGCCAUAGACCGGCUAGGACUCUCCCGAUAACGAGAGAUGCUUUAGCGAAUUUAGGAUGUCGCCAAAGGGCGAGUGUUGGAAGAUGUUCGCGGCGGUGAAUUCCAUAACCGGCGCCCAAUCCGAAUCGAUUGGUAGGGGCAUGGGAGGUUCGGAGUCCGGCAAGGAGUCCGGCACCUCGGAACCAUGAGUUUCGCGGGGGACAAAAUUAGUAUUCGGCUCCAUCGCCGUGGAAGUUGAAGCCCCCGAGGUGGUGUCCAUCCACCGAUCCUCGAUCUGGGUGAUCGGCUCCGGACUAAAGGCCGAAGCGGAUUCGUGUGCGGCCACCAAGGCACUGUUCGGCGGCAGAGCUAGAUCAUGCCGAUCGUAACAGUGCGGCGCGCUUGGCUGUGGCUCGAGCCCGUCGAAGAUCAAGUCUCCGUGGACGUCGGCCGUGAAGUUUAGACUUCCGAAUCUGACCUGACGGCCAGGGGCGUAGCUUUCGAUCUGCUCCAGAUGGCCAAGCGAAUUAGCCCGCAGUGUGAAGCCGCCGAAUACGAAGAUCUGUCUGGGGAGAAAAGUCUCACCCUGGGCAGCGUAGUUGGUUGAAGAUGCCAUCGAGCCUAUCGGUGACGACACAGAGGAACUCUCAAUGAAAGCACCAAUGUCGGAGUCAAAACCGGCGGAUCUCAGGUAGGGGGUCCCGAACUGUGCGUCUAGGCGGAUGGUAACAGGAGACGAGGGACACGAUGUUUUACCCAGGUUCGGGCCCUCUCGAUGGAGGUAAAACCCUACGUCCUGCUUGAUUAAUAUUGAUGAUAUGGGUAGUACAAGAGUGGAUCUACCACGAGAUCAAGGAGGCUAAACCCUAAAGCUAGCCUAUGGUAUGAUUGUUGUAAUGUAUGUUGUGUCCUAUGGACUAAAGCCCUCCGGUUUAUAUAGACACCGGAGGAGGCUAGGGUUACACAGAGUCGGUUACAAUGGUAGGAGAUCUACAUAUCCGUAUCGCCAAGCUUGCCUUCCACGCCAAGGAAAGUCCCAUCCGGACACGGGACGGAGUCUUCAAUCUUGUAUCUUCGUAGUCUUGGAGUCCGGCGGACGAUGAUAGUCCGGCUGUCCGGACACCCCCUAGUCCAGGACUCCCUCACCGAGGCUUGGUAUCAUUAUGCCGUUGGAUCAGUUGUUACAUUGGUUGCGAUUAUGAUCGCAUUUGUUUCCGCAUUGAAAUGUUUUACAUAGUUUCAGUGUAUGGUUUAAUUAAUUUAGAUGCUCUGCAGAGCUUUAUGUUGUUAGAUGAGAACUAUGUAUGUACUUUGGUUUUAAUGUGAUGAUGAACUUCUAUUAAUUUGGUCACUUAAUUAUCUAUUCAUGAUGUUCUGUAAUGAUUUUUGACACACUUAAUUAUAUAUAAUGCACGCAGAUGAACCGGCAAUGGAUGUACAGUUCAAGACACACCUCCGAGUACAUUAAGGGCGUGCAUGAUUUUCUCAAAGUGGCUGAGGCAAACAAGCAGAAUGGUUUUAUGUGUUGUCCAUGCCCUAUAUGUGGGAAUACGAAGUCUUAUUCUGACCGGAAAAUCCUCCACACCCACCUGCUUUACAAGGGUUUCAUGCCACACUAUAAUGUUUGGACGAGGUACGGAGAAAUAGGGGUUAUGAUGGAAGACGGCGAAGACGAAGAGUACGAUGACAACUAUGUGCCCCCUGAAUACGGUGAUGCUACUGAACAUCAAGAGGAACCAGACGAUGUGCACGAUGAUGCUGCAACGGGCGAAGCUGCUGAAGAUCAAGAGGAACCAGACGAUGUGCCCGAUGAUGAUGAUCUCCGCCGGGUCAUUGUCGAUGCAAGGACGCAAUGCGAAAGUCAAAAGAAGAAGCUGAAGUUCGAUUGCAUGUUAGAGGACCACAAAAAAGGGUUGUACCCCAAUUGCGAAGAUGGCAACACAAAGCUCGGUACCGUACUGGAAUUGCUGCAGUGGAAGGCAGAGAAUGCUGUGCCUGACAAUGGAUUUGAGAAGCUACUGAAAAUAUUGAAGAAGAAGCUUCCAAAGGAUAACGAAUUGCCCGACAGUACAUACGCAGCAAAGAAGGUUGUAUGCCCUCUAGGAUUGGAGGUGCAGAAGAUACAUGCAUGCCCUAAUGACUGCAUCCUCCACCGCGGCGCGUACAAGGAUCUGAACGCAUGCCCGGUAUGCGGUGCAUUACGGUAUAAGAUCAGACGAGAUGACCCUGGUGAUGUUGACGGCGAGCCCCCCAGGAAGAGGGUUCCUGCGAAGGUGAUGUGGUAUGCUCCUAUAAUACCACGGUUGAAACGUCUGUUCAGAAACGGAGAGCAUGCUAAGUUGAUGCGAUGGCACAGUGAGGACCGUAAGAAAGACGGGAAGUUAAGAGCACCCCCUGACGGGUCGCAGUGGAGAAAAAUCGAGAGAAAGUACUGGGAUGAGUUUGCAAGUGAGCCAAGGAACGUAUGGUUUGCUUUAAGCGCGGAUGGCAUUAAUCCUUUCGGGGAGCAGAGCAGAAAUCAUAACACCUGGCCCGUGACUCUAUGUAUGUAUAACCUUCCUCCUUGGAUGUGCCUGAAGCGGAAGUUCAUUAUGAUGCCAGUUCUCAUCCAAGGCCCUAAGCAACCCGGUAACGACAUUGAUGUGUACCUAAGGCAUUGCUAUGGAAUGGAAACGGUGUACGUAUGUGGGAUGAGCACAAACAAGAGGAAUUUAACCUAAAGGCAUUGCUGUUCGUGACCAUCAACGAUUGGCCCGCUCUUAGUAACCUUUCAGGACAGACAAACAAGGGAUACCACGCAUGCACGCACUGUUUACUUGACACCGAUAGUAUAUACCUGGCAAGCUGCAGGAAGAAUGUGUACCUGGGCCAUCGUCGAUUUCUUCCGACCAACCAUCAAUGUCGAAAGAAAGGCAAGCACUUCAAAGGCGAGGCAGAUCACCGGAAGAAGCCUGCCAUGCAUACCGGUGAUCACGUACUUGCUAUGGUCAAUGGUUUACACAUAAUCUUUGGAAAGGGUCCCGGCGGACUAGCUGUUCCGAGUGACGCUGGGGGACACGCACCCAUGUGGAAGAAGAAAUCUAUAAUUUGGGACCUACCCUACUGGAAAGACCUAGAGGUCCGCUCUUCGAUCGACGUGAUGCACGUGACGAAGAACCUUUGCGUGAACCUGCUAGGCUUCUUGGGCGUGUAUGGGAAGACAAAAGAUACUGCUGAGGCACGGGAGGACCUGCAACGUUUGCACGAAAAAGAUGGCAUGCCGCCAAAGCAGUAUGAAGGUCCUGCCAGCUAUGCUCUUACCAAAGAAGAGAAGGAAAUCUUCUUUGAGUGCCUGCUUAGUAUGAAGGUCCCGACUGGCUUCUCGUCGAAUAUAAAAGGAAUAAUAAAUAUGGCUGAGAAAAAGUUUCAGAACCUAAAGUCUCAUGACUGCCACGUGAUUACGAAGCAACUACUUCCGGUUGCAUUGAGGGGGCUUCUACCGGAAAACGUCCGAUUAGCCAUUGUGAAGCUAUGUGCAUUCCUCAAUGCAAUCUCUCAGAAGGUGAUCGAUCCAGAAAUCAUACCAAGGCUAAGGAGUGAUGUGGUGCAAUGUCUUGUCAGUUUCGAGCUGGUGUUCCCACCAUCCUUCUUCAAUAUCAUGACGCACGUCCUAAUUCAUCUAGUUGACGAGAUUGUCAUUCUGGGCCCCGUAUUUCUACACAAUAUGUACCCCUUUGAGAGGUUCAUGGGAGUCCUAAAGAAAUAUGUCCGUAACCGCGCUAGGCCAGAAGGAAGCAUCUCCAUGGGCCAUCAAACAGAGGAUGUCAUCGGGUUUUGUGUUGACUUCAUUCCUGGCCUUAAGAAGAUAGGUCUCCCUAAAUCGCGGUAUAAGGGGAGACUGACUGGAAAAGGCACGCUUGGAAGGGACUCAAUAAUAUGCAGGGACGAUAUUCUUGGUCUCAAGCACACUACAUAGUUCUACAGAACUCUACCUUGGUGACCCCGUAUGUCGAUGAACACAAGAACAGUCUGCGCUCCAAACACCCGGAGCAGUGCGACGACUGGAUUACAUGUGAACACAUCAGGACUUUCAGCAAUUGGUUGGAAGCACGUAUCAGAGGUGACAAUACUGUUUGUGAUGAGCUGUACUUGUUGUCCAGGGGACCAUCUUUGACUGUAUUGAUUUGGAAAGGAUACGAGAUAAAUGGGAAUACAUUUUACACGAUUGACCAAGAUCAAAAGAGCACCAACCAAAACAGCGGUGUCCGCUUUGAUGCAACAACCGAGAGGGGAAAGGACACAUAUUAUGGUUACAUAGUGGACAUAUGGGAACUUUUCUACGGACAUGAUUUUAAGGUCCCUUUGUUUAAGUGCAAAUGGGUCAAUCUGUCAGGAGGCGGGGUACAGGUAGACCCACAGUACAGAAUGACAACAGUGGAUCUGAAAAAUCUUGGGUACACUGACGAACCGUUCGUCCUAGCCAAUGAUGUGGCACAAGUUAUCUAUGUGAAGGACAUGUCUACCAGGCCGAGAAAGAGAAAAGAUAAGGAAGCGAAUACAUCAUACGAUGAGCCAAAGCGCCACAUAGUUCUUUCAGGAAAAAGGGACAUCGUGGGAGUGGAGGACAAGACAGGCAUGUCUGAAGAUUAUGAAAAGUUUCAUGAAAUUCCUCCCUUUAAAGUCAAGGCUGACCCCAGCAUCCUGAUAAACGAUGAAGAUUAUCCAUGGUUACGACGCAAUAAGCAAAUGACAGAAGCGAAGAAAAAGUGAAAACUUUCUCCCGCAACUAUUAUGAUGAUACCAUUGUCCGUUUUGUACAUGCACAUGCUAUGUGGGUCAAUUUAUGAUACCAUGCCAACUUUCAACUUUUUCAGAGUUCAUUUGAAAUGCUUUAAUGUCUUAUGGUUCGGCCCUCGUAAUAAUUAAAAAUAGCAACAAUAAGUAUUUUGUUCUAAGUAGAAACAAAAUAAAAUAAAUAAAGCAAGAAAGAAAACAAAAAACAAAAAAUGUGUUUUCAAAUUUAAAAACUAAUGGCACUAACAGAAAGUUUAUAAUUUUCCUAAAACUAAAAGCAAAAAGAUUAAAAAAUAAAGCAAAAAACAAAAGAAAAUAAAUAAUGCAGAAAACAAAACAAAAAAACUGGAAAAAAAAUAAAAAUAGCAACAAUAAGUAAAGAAAACAAAAAAACAAAAAAAUGCCUCCUACUGGCCCCCCACGGCCUGAAUACGACAUGAAACCCUACUAUGGGCCAGGAUUCAGGCCCGCAGUAGGCCCAGAAGGCCCAUCAGGCAAAGUUUAGAAAGUAGGCCCGAAAGCCUACGGUGGAGAGGAGCCCGAGAGGGGUGCGGCAGUGGAGCUUAUAAACCACUGCGCGCCCCUCUCAACUAGCGAGGUGGGACUAAACUUUGGCCCCGACGCGGGCAACACAGGGGCAGUGGUCCCGAUUGGUGGCACUAACCGAGACUAAAGUGGGGGCAUUGGUACCGGUUCGGGGCAUUAGUACCGGUUGGAGUCACGAACCGGUACCAAUGCCCACCCUUUAGUCCCGGUUGGUGCCACCAACCGGGACCAAAGGCCACCACUUCCCGCCAGGACUAAAGGGUGUAUUAGUCCCGGUUGGUGCCACCAACCGGGACUAAAGGCUUUGCUAUAUAAGCAGCACUUAGCAGUUUCUCCAAAAUCCAUCCCUUUCUUCUCCGCCCGACGCCCGCUGCUCUGCCUCGUCGCCGUCGCCGCCGAGCCGUCAGGCUGCUCCACCUCGUCGUCGCCGCCGCCUCCGACGCCGUCAGGCUGGUCCACCUCACCGUCGUCGCCGCCUCUGACGCCGUCAGGCUGCUCAACUUUGCCGUCGCCGCCGCCCUCGACGCCAUCUGCCCCGACGCCGGCGCCNNNNNNNNNNNNNNNNNNNNNNNNNNNNNNNNNNNNNNNNNNNNNNNNNNNNNNNNNNNNNNNNNNNNNNNNNNNNNNNNNNNNNNNNNNNNNNNNNNNNNNNNNNNNNNNNNNNNNNNNNNNNNNNNNNNNNNNNNNNNNNNNNNNNNNNNNNNNNNNNNNNNNNNNNNNNNNNNNNNNNNNNNNNNNNNNNNNNNNNNNNNNNNNNNNNNNNNNNNNNNNNNNNNNNNNNNNNNNNNNNNNNNNNNNNNNNNNNNNNNNNNNNNNNNNNNNNNNNNNNNNNNNNNNNNNNNNNNNNNNNNNNNNNNNNNNNNNNNNNNNNNNNNNNNNNNNNNNNNNNNNNNNNNNNNNNNNNNNNNNNNNNNNNNNNNNNNNNNNNNNNNNNNNNNNNNNNNNNNNNNNNNNNNNNNNNNNNNNNNNNNNNNNNNNNNNNNNNNNNNNNNNNNNNNNNNNNNNNNNNNNNNNNNNNNNNNNNNNNNNNNNNNNNNNNNNNNNNNNNNNNNNNNNNNNNNNNNNNNNNNNNNNNNNNNNNNNNNNNNNNNNNNNNNNNNNNNNNNNNNNNNNNNNNNNNNNNNNNNNNNNNNNNNNNNNNNNNNNNNNNNNNNNNNNNNNNNNNNNNNNNNNNNNNNNNNNNNNNNNNNNNNNNNNNNNNNNNNNNNNNNNNNNNNNNNNNNNNNNNNNNNNNNNNNNNNNNNNNNNNNNNNNNNNNNNNNNNNNNNNNNNNNNNNNNNNNNNNNNNNNNNNNNNNNNNNNNNNNNNNNNNNNNNNNNNNNNNNNNNNNNNNNNNNNNNNNNNNNNNNNNNNNNNNNNNNNNNNNUCUUCCUUCUUCCUUCUUCCUCUUUUCUUCCUUUUCCUUAAUUAUUUUCCUUUCUUGAGGUAGAAGAAGAAAAAGAAGAGGAGAAGAAGAAAGAAAGGAAUAGAGGAGAAAGAAGAAACUUCAACACGAGGGGGGGGGGGGUACCGAUACCCCUCCCCGAUAACAUUAUUUUCCCAUGUAUAUGUAUGUCGCGUCGUUGUCGAUAUAACCCCCUCGAGAUAACUUCGACAUGAGGGGCGGUCGAUAUAUAUACCCCCUCUCGACCGUGAUAACUUAUACAACGGCAGCACCCCCCUCGGCCCUCUCGCUCGACCAAAACUCUCGAGGACACCCAAACCCUAGAGAGAAAACGAUGUUGGUCUCCUACCGCCUCCCGCCGCGCCCCUACCCGGCAAAUUAACUCUCUCGAGGCCACCCAAAUUUAUCAAGUUAAAAGAGCGUUGUCGUCGAGGCCACCCCAAACCCUUGAAGUGUUGUGUCGAGGCGACCCCAAACCCUAGAGAAGCAGCGUCGAGGCCACUAACAUGAUUCCUUAUUGUGAUUAGCUAGCUAGUUCUACGUUUGCCACUAAUAUAUAUAUAUAUCCAUCUGUACCAUGUUUGAAUAAUAAUUGACAUGUUGUAAAUAUUUGCAGAAACUAUGGAGCACUCCCGAGACGAAGAAAUAGAAGCGAUGUUGGGGGACAUAAUCGCACAAGGAAGUGAUGAAGUUGCGUCAUUUCUCAACGAGACCGAUGGUCAGGAAGGACUGGGUGAAGAAGAGGGCUAUGUUCAUGAUGGCUUCGACCCAUUAAUGCUGGUACAAGAAGAGGACUAUGUUCAUGAUGGCUCCGGUGACACAAUGGAGGUACAAGAAGGAGACCGUGCUGACUGCUCCGGUGACCGAACCGAGGCCGGCCAGGUAUAUAUAUAUAUUAGUUAAGCCCGUGCUGACUAGUUAAUUGAUGCAUCCAUUGUUUUGGUAUAUGUACACAUAUUACUUACUCUCGUCCUUCUUCCUUAUAAUUUCUAGCCCUCCGGAUCGAGCACAACUUCGGUAAGGAGACGAGGCCCAAAGAAAAAGUUGAGCUCGGAUGAAAAGUUUGAGAUCAAAGAAAUCGCGCCCGACGGUGAACCGAUUGAACCCAUCCGGACAAGGAAGGCAUUUUCUGCUCAGUGCGGGGUUCUUGUUAGGGACAAGAUCCCGAUCAGCAUCCAGCAAUGGUAUAAGCCUAAGGAGGAAGACCCCGAGGUGUCUUAUGUCAAUGAUAUGCAGAAAGAAGAUCUUUGGACUGAGCUGAAGGUAAAUUUCACCCUACCGCCAGAGGAGGAUCCGGAGAAGCCAGUUAAAGAGCAAUUAAUCAAGUCUUGUGCUCUUAAGAAGAUGGCAAACCUAAUGAGGAGGUGGAGGAAAGAGCUGAACCAGUUGUCGGGAAAGAAAAGACACCAGAAUUCAUCGGCAAAUGUGAGAAGAUCAAGAUCACUGGCCCGCAUUUGUGGCCCACAAGACAUCGGAAAAGAGUAAGAAGAUGUCGGCGACAAACAAGCAAAAUGCUGCGAAGAAGAAGCUUCACCAUCGCACAGGGUCAGGUGGCUACCUCAAAGCCCGGCCUAAGUGGUCCAAGGCUGAGCAUGAUCUGCUUGAAAAAGGGAUCGAACCAGAGACAAUGUACUGGCCAGACCGUUGCCGGACUUGGUUCUUCGGGGCUGGCGGAACCUUGGACCCUGUAACAGGGAAGUGCCAGUGGACGGGCAAGCAACUGCAAAUACCAGUCAAGAACCUUCGACACUAUAUCGAUGCAGCGCAGCGAGGGACGUUCCUUCCAAACAGGGAGAAGAACGAGCUCACAAUGGCCCUUGGGAAUCCUGAGCACCUUGGACGGACACGAGGCACGCCAGGCUCCAUUCCGUGGAAGGUUGGUUUUCCGAACGCAGGGGAUUACAAAACCCACGAGAGGAGGAAGAAACUGGAGCAGGACCAACUGCAGGCGCUGCACGAAAGGGUAAUGGGGCUAGAGGAAUGAGAAGCAGCAGAUCGCAGCAAAUGACCUGCCGAAGCUUCCCCCGAAGCUACCCCGCCAUCUCAGCGGAGAAGCAGCGUGGCUUCCACCGAGCUGCUUCAGCCGGAGCAUGUCUUGACGUCUCCUGCCAGCUAUCCCGUGGAUGGUAUCACGGAGUCUCAAAAUUGCCACAUUAUGGCGCGAUGGAUGAAUUUGAAGGUCAAGGCGGCUGUUGGCCAAGUUUAUCCUAGUGGACCCGGCACAACUUAUCACUGCCAGCCGAUUCCAGAAGGAUAUGCUAAGGUGAUGGAGGAUGAAAUAAUGGAGGGAUUUGAGGACCUCGUGCUUGACCACCCUACCGGUGAAGGGGAGACUAGGCUGGGUUCUGCUCUGAAGACUCCAUGCCUAUGGCGGAAGGAGCUCAUCAACCUUCCGAACUGGACGCCUCCGCCUCCUCCUCCUCCUCCUCCGGCGAGUCAGGGCACUCCGCCUCCUCCACCGCCUCCUCCUCCGGCGAGUGACGAUCAGGGCACGCGUGGCGGCACUCCGCCUCCUUCUCCGGCGCGUGGCGGCACUCCGUCUCCUUCUCUGCCUGCGCCGGCGCUCCCGAGCAGCCAGCAGCCUCCUCCUUCUCCGCCUCGCCAGCAAGGGCGGAAGAGACCCGCCGCCGCCCCGGCUGCUCCGACGCGUCGUAGUCCUUCUCCUCCGCCUCGUAAGCAAGCCGAAAGAAGACAGACGCCGCAGCCGCUCCGUCUGAUCCGCCGUCUAGCAGCACAAGAAGAGGAGAGAGGCAAUACAGAUACGGUCCACCUCUAAAGCCUCUAGAGAAGUUACCGUACGAGAGGACCGAGGAGGAAAACAAUACGAUCGUGCAGACCCACGUGAAGGAGUUCUUUGAAGGGGUGAAAGCAAAGAGACAUCCACCUCCGGAGGAGAAGGUAGAUCCGGUGAAAUCAAAGCGCACUCUCGAUGCCCUGAGGAAACCGGCAAAGUCUCCGCCGAGAACCAACUAUGAGCGCAUUACUGAACAGACAUAUCUCCAAGCGGAGCGGUCGGGAAGUACUGUCAGACAUCAAAGAGCAAAAGAACGAGCAGCUGCGAAAAAAAUUGACCAGCUCGGCGAACAAGCAAACCAAUCGUGCCCCCCGCUCAAUGUGUCUAGCGGCAACAUCGUCGCUAAUGUUCCGGGGAUGGUGGCCGGUUAUGGCAAUCUACAAGAUUACCUGCCUGACGAUGCACUUCCUGAUUACAUGAAGGUGGAAGAACACAAAUACGAGUAUGGGAAGCCUCUCGUCAAAGAUAAAAAAUCUCUAACAACGAUGAUGCGAAGAUUCCAUACUUGGUACAUGAAAACCUGUAGAGAGUCUGGGGGGAUGAAUAGUUUGUAUCUGCACAUUAAAGAGGAGCACGACCUCGUUGGAACUGAUCUGUUGUGUGUUCCAUUUGAGGAGUUCUUCGCGUUCUUCAAUCAAAAGGCCCUCGAUAAAUUAACGGUCUUUUGCUACUGCCUGUAAGUACUAUUUCUGUCAUUAAGUCUCUAUAUAUAGCUCGGCUCUUUCAUUGUAUGUAUUUAUAAUUAAUUAUCCUCAAUAUAUUAUGCAGAUUUAAGAUCGUCGAGUGCAAAAAAAAUGAAAUCUAUGAUAUUGGGUUCAUUAACACAAAUAUCAUAGAUGUAUUUCUGGUUGAAAAGGACGUCAAAGAGGCCGAGGACAACUUGCUACAAUCGUUGAUCAAAAAUCAAAACAAAGAUACCAUACUCUUUCCUUACAACGGCAAGUGAGUGUUACUGAUCGUUUGCAUAUUCGGUUUCCCUUAUUACUCGAGCGAGGUUAUAGUAAUGUAAUUGAUGAGUUAUGCAUGCGUGCGCAGGUACCACUAUAUUCUUCUGGAGAUUAAGCUUGAGCGUGGACUAGUAACCGUCUUAGACUCGAGACGGAAAGAUCCCAGCACCUAUGCAGACAUGACUGAAAUGCUCAACAAGUAAGUUCAAUCGAUCAUUAUCGCACCAUAUCGGCAACUUUUUAUUCAUUUAACCUGAUAUCUCAAGUAAUAAUUAUUAUUUUCUUUGUCUUGCAGGGUUUGGAAACAGUUCACUGCAGAAGCUCCGGGACUGCUGAAGGAGCUGCGAUAUACAUACCCGAAAGUAAGUACUACUCGCUAGCUAGUUGUGCGCAUCUCCCGUUGAUUCUAUAGCUAUACUUUCAUCAAUGCCAUUUAUAAUGCUUCAUUAUCAGUUUGAUUGACCUCUAUUUCUCGUAAAGUGCUUGUGGCAGGAACAAGGAAAUAAUUUCUGUGGAUACUACGUGUGCGAGUUCAUCCACACCGUGACUUUGAAAAACAAGCGGGGCUACUCUCAAAGACAAUAUGAAGUGCGUAAGCAAUUAAUAAUAUUCACAAUUUCAUUUUAUUACACCAUUAUUUCUGUUGAGUUUCAUUCAUAUAUAUGUAUUAAUUAACCCCCUUCUUCAAAUUAGACGUGGCAGAUGCGGAAUGAACUCCUAGAACCAGAUCGCAUGAAAGCAAUUCAAGAGGAAUUGGCGGGAUUCUUUCUUGACCACGUCAUCAAUAAAGCCGGAGAAUACCAUGUGAAAGUUGAUUUCAAAUGCUAGGGGACUGUAAUUGAGAGAUCUUAUAUAUUGUACAUGUAUGUAGCCAGUAGCGUCAAACGUACAUGAUACGUAAACUUGUUGUUCGACCAAUCUCUCGAAGAAGGAGAGGUCGAUCGAUCAUUUCUCUCGGUAUGCAUGACGAACUUCUGUACUCGAUGGUUCCCUUCAUUUUCUUACUAGCUAGCGUGUCGAGGGCUAUAUGUAUAUAGUACGUAGCGUCGACCAAGCACGGACAUAAGAGAGGACACUUCUCUCUAAUAAUUAGCUAGCUAACACAAUAUANNNNNNNNNNNNNNNNNNNNNNNNNNNNNNNNNNNNNNNNNNNNNNNNNNNNNNNNNNNNNNNNNNNNNNNNNNNNNNNNNNNNNNNNNNNNNNNNNNNNNNNNNNNNNNNNNNNNNNNNNNNNNNNNNNNNNNNNNNNNNNNNNNNNNNNNNNNNNNNNNNNNNNNNNNNNNNNNNNNNNNNNNNNNNNNNNNNNNNNNNNNNNNNNNNNNNNNNNNNNNNNNNNNNNNNNNNNNNNNNNNNNNNNNNNNNNNNNNNNNNNNNNNNNNNNNNNNNNNNNNNNNNNNNNNNNNNNNNNNNNNNNNNNNNNNNNNNNNNNNNNNNNNNNNNAGCCACUGGAAUGCUGACGCGUGGAUGCCUUUUGGUCCCGAUUGGUGCCACCAACCGGGACCAAAGGCCCCCCCUGCCUGGGCUCGGCGCACCGGCCACGUGGAGGACCAUCUGUCUCGGUUCGUGUUAGAACCGGGACUAAAGGGGGGAGGUUUUAGUAACGACCCAUUAGUCCCGGUUCAUGAACCGGGACUAAAGGCCCUUACGAACCGGGACUAAUAGGUGUUUUUCUACUAGUGAGGCCUCUCAAGUUUGACACUGAAAUAAAUUGAAGUAUCAAACUAUAUCGAGUAAACAUGUGAAAAAUCUCAUAAUAUUUAUCAGUUAUAGCAGAUAGACAGAAAUAAUUCAUUCAGGACCAACUAUAAGAAGAAAAGAAAAAAAUUCAUCACUCUGAAUAAUGAACGAACAUGGUCAACUACUAUCAGCUUCUAUUUGGCAUCUCAGAGUUUACCCAUUUAUUAUUAUAUAACAUACAUACAAAGAAUGAGACAAAUAAUUAACACCUACAAACAUAGAAAUGUCACUCAUAAACAAAAGAGGACAAACUGCGCAAUAGCCUGUGAUUAACUGAAACUCGUCCACAUGAAUGAGCCAUAUCAUUGUGGGACUAUAUCAAAUGUUAUUCUGGAUGUUACCACCCCAUAAAACUUCAGUUCAGAACUGUUCCAAAGAAACCAAGUCAAAAUCAUAUAGCUGUUAACCUUCUAGGCAAUCCACAUAUACAGUUCAAGACCCCCUCACACGUGUGAUGCGGAAAGUCAGCACAUGAAUAGACUUAGAGGUAUGGCUUAACAUGCCUAUACAUGGACACAAAGGGGGGCAUGAGCAUGACCAUGUUAAGCUUCAUGCACUAGCCAAUACAAAUCGGAAGUCCGAACUGAUGGAAAGGGCUAGACAAUCUACAUAUAUACUGCAACACCUUCCUCUCAUGUGUGAUACAAGAAGUAAUAGGUAUUGCUCAAGAGGCCUAUACAUGGAGACAGAGGGGGGCAUCAACAAUUUUUUGAUAAUUUGCAAAAGCCAGGAGUUGAACUCAAGAUCUUAGGCCCUGAUACGAUGUUAAACUUCAUGCACUAUUCAACGCAACCAAAAAUCCGAACUGAUGGAAAUGCUAGGCAAUCCACAUAUACACUUCAACAAUAAUUAGCCACAUGAAUGCAAGCACCGGACUCAAAAGGAAAUUCAUUCAGGAUGAAUUCUGGGCAGAGAAAAAAUUCCGGCCACAGCAAAACAGGAGUGUCCAGCAGUCCUCACUUUGAAGAAUGAAUGAACAUGGUCAGCUAUUACCAGCUUCUGUUUUGGUAUCUCAGAGUUUAUCCAAAGAAUGAAUGAACAGUUUAUUCCAUCACAUACAUAGUAUAAAGAAUGAGACGGAUUGUCAACACCUUCCUGUUUAUCUUCCUGUUGCUUCAAUAGUUCAGUAUGGUGCUGAAGACAACAUCUCCUCUUUCUCUCCAUUCUCUAGGCUAAUAUAAUCAAUUAGAAUGUGUAGAACAUGAGUAGCACCUGAACGAAGACUUUCACAUUAGUGCUGGAUGGGACACCAAAGGAACAAAAAAAUGAAAAUACCUCACUUCUGUUGGGUCAAUUGACCGAACAGUUGGCGUGGAUCUAGAGAAGGCGAUGGACGUCGAGGCUGGAAGUUGCAAUGGCAUGGAGGGCAGGUGUUGUAUAUGUCCUGCGGAACCGGCCAGAGGUCGGGGAAAACAACAGGUCAGCUUGUACGCGGCCUACUAAUAGAGUAAAGUUGCUGCUGCUGCUCUCCGUUAAAGAUGGCACCAAAUGAAGCACGUCUAGCCGCUGUACUACUUGUUCUACUAUACAUUGUGCCUUUUGUUUGGUGGAUCAGCUACUGGUUUGCUAGCUUUGGGCAUCGGCUGCUACAUGGAGCCAUGGAGAAAAGAAAAAUGGAUAAGACAGAGAUGAUGUGGUGGUUAGAAAAUACAAAUAGGACAGGACAAGAGCAAACUUGUGGUGGAAAACACCCAACAUUCGCACCUUUGGCAAGAUGGACACGAAAAAACAAUGGUUACAUUUUUCAGACAUAGAAUCAUUGGUAGUUACCUGAACGAGUGUUCAAGUAAAUAUAUUACAACACUGCAUUGGGAAAAAAAAGAAACAUACCUCUAGCAGCAGUAUCUACUCCUAAUGGACGACUUGGUGAAUAGUCGUCCGGUCAAUUUUCGCUGGUUUUUUUCGUCAUACUCCCCCCACCGCUUUUUUUUCGUCAUCGUAUACCGGUUUAUUUUCGUCAUCCUAUCGAAAACACCUGGGAUCCAUCCCUCAUUCACACAGAUCGGACUCCGCCGCCGCCGGAACGCAAGCCAGAUCCACCCGUACGCCCAGACCGCGUCGGAUCCAUCCCUUCGCAGACGCACUUGCACGAGGCGGCCGAUCCAUCCUUUCGCCGUCGCACUUGCAGGAGGCGGCGGCGACCUGUUGGAUCCGGCGAGGACACGGGGCCGCGAUCCCGAGGUUCGCGUUCGCCGGCGAUCACGAACCCGGUCCGACGACGGCCACCCAUUUACCACCCACAGGGUCUCAACCGGCGCUGCUCCUCUUUCAGUGAGAGUAAUGCAAGUUCAUACACAUUGUUUCAUACUGAAUAAUUCAUACUUAAGGCCGUACAAAAAACAUCUCAGGAGUCGGCGAUCUGCUGUGGGAUCGGUUCAGCAGACGCGAAGCGAUCUGGUGUGGGAUCGCUUUAGGAGACUGGGCCGCGAUCCCGUCUACGUGACGCCGUGAUCCCCUUCUGGACGCGCCCAGGAUCCAAGUAUUGCAACUUCUGCUCAUUACCUAUGUAAAGACAAUAGUUCAUACUCGUUUGUGACUAUCUUUGCUGAAGCAUGGUAGGCCAAACAGCACUUAUGAAUUUGCAUAUUUGAGUUGGUUGCUUGUGCUUACUUGGAAUGCAUAUACAUCAAGCCGACGACCUUCAAUUCCUGGAGCAUGGUAUGGCAGGCACAAUUUCUGAAAUUUGCAACAGUGACUUCAUUAAACAUACCAAGAUCCCAGUUCAUCAGAGUGUGUGUAUAUUUGGCACACUUUCAAGAUGCGGUAGUAAGACACAAUAUUGUUUCCAGGAAGAUAUAACAGUGACUAUAUCAAACAUUGUCUGCUAUCAGCGAAAAUAUAUGGCAGUCCUAAAAACACGCAGAAAUACUAUGUUAGCUUAACUGAAACCAGCUGAAAUUAUUAAAGUUCACAAGCCUGGAGCAAUGCAAGGGACACUAUAAUUAUUAAAUUUUUGCAAUAAAAAAUAACCUGUUACAUUUAGCUUGGCUUUUCAAAUAUAGCAUGUUGAAGUAAAUGAAGGUAUGGAAUGUAUGUAUCAGAGAUACAGCUGUUGAUUGCGAUGACUACCAGGUCAUAAACAGCUUCAUAGUCCAGAAUACUAUGUUCACAGUGAGGAAAUGAGCAUAUCAUACCGAUGUACAGAGAAUGCAUAAACAUUGUGCUGGUUUUACUUACUUUGAGACCUUUGUUUUGUGGCUUGUUCAGGUUACUUUGCACUGCCAAUAAGCAGCCUGUCCAGUUAGCAUAGUCUCCAAGUUCUCUCCAAGGUCACAAACGAAAGUGCAUGAAACCACAAAAUAGAUCAAACAAUUAAUAAGGUGUUUGGUAACAUAAAACCUCCCAACACGGAGGCCUGGAGUUGGAUCCUGGGCGCGUCCAGAAGGGGAUAACAAAUUAAAUGAUUGACGGUAGACAACUUCAUUAUGAGAUCUUUGCUUGCAGGUGAGUAUGGGGAAUCCACAAAGCAAAACUGCGGAACAUACAACAGCAUUGGGUGAACCAAGAGGUAAAUCUUUGACUACAAAACAAAACUACAUGUCAAGCUAUAUCCCGAUUGUGAUUUCCUUAAUUGUCGUUGUUUCAGAUAAUUUGGAUUGGACAAAUGAUGGUGAGACCAAUGCGCGGAUCCAUUUAUGACAUUUGGAUUGUCAAUUUAACAAUAUUUAAUACUAUUUAUUUAUUGAAUUGGUCUCGCUUACUUGUAUGAAUGACACUCAGAUGGGCUGACACUUGAACCGUCUGGACAAUCGGUUUUUGUUCAUAAUGAACUAAUGGGUACUGAAGUUGUUGGAUAUCAGAUGGAUGGGACAAACGUUGUUGAUAAUCGCCCUCUUAGUCCAGGUAUGAGGCUGUGCGGAUAGAGUACUCAUCAUUUUGUUCUCUUAAUUUCAUCACUUCAAUCUCAGUAGUUUGUAUGAACCAUGGUCCAGGCCACUCCAUACCUAAACAGACCGCAGACCUGGUUGUUCCCCGACCCACAGAUGGUGAUAUUACAUGUGAUCAGCAGCCUCCCGAUCUGAACUCAGGUGGGCAAAAAACAUAUUGAAAAGGAGACCCGGCAAUCUCGGUUGUUUAUCAUGCUUAUAGAGGUUGUGUUUCAGAUGUUCAAUAACAGUCUAAGAACAAUAUCAUAUUGCUUUUGGUCUGAUCCAGAUGAUUUUGACGUGUCUCCUAAUGAUGGAGGAAUACACCUGUCCACUAUGUCAGCUGCUCAAGUUAUAUCCCAAACCCUUCCAACGUCCGAGCACAUGACUACAGGAUCUUUGGACAAUGUCACCAAACAAACUAAAAAGGGUAUCUUAACUGAUGAAAAAAGGGAGCAGAUAAACGCCAAGAGGCGAGCUACUUAUCGGCGGAAGUUAGAGGAGGCAGCAAAGAAACUUGAUCAUGAGAAUCAAGCUCUCGAUCUGAACUCAGGUGAGCAAAAAACAUAUAGAUUGAAAUGGAGAACCGGCAAUCUCGGUUAUUUAGCAUGCUUAUAGAGGUUGCGUUUCAGAUGUUCAGGAACAGUCUAAGAACAAUCCAAAUGUUGCUUUUGUUCUGUUCCAGAUGAUUUUGAUGUGUCUCCUAAUGAUGGAGGAAUACACAUGUCCACUAUGUCACCUGCUCAAGUUUUAUCCCAAACCCUUCCAACGUCCGAGCACAUGACUACAGGAUCUUUCGAGAAUGCCAGCAAACAAACUAAAAAAAAGGUAUCUUAACUGAUGAAAAAAGAGAGCAAAUAAACGCCAAGAGGCGAGCUACUUAUCGGCGGAAGAAAGAAGAGGAAGCAAAGAAACUUGAUCAUGAGAAACAAGCUUAUCGGUCAACACCUGGUAUAGUUGUUUUUUUUUCAAUUAAAACAAUGUGCAUUCCUGCUUUGACUACUCUCACACCUUGUUUGCAUCUAUUAUAAAAUCGUCGAUUUACUUCUAUGAACCAAUUUCAGAUCAGUCCAUCACUGAACAAGCCGCAGUUGAUGUUGUUCCCCAACCCACUAAUGGUGAUGUCACAUGUGUAGUGCGGCCUUCCGAACUGAACUCAGGUUAGUAUAAAACUUAAUGAGUACUCUCUACUCUUCAGAUAGCAGCAAACUGACCCGUUAUGAUCACUAUCGGUUAUUUUUGCAUCAAGCGGGCACUCCGGCUACCUCAUCAACAUUUGUGUCUCUCAGCUAUCUCACUGACGAGUUGGCCACAGCCGUAGCACAGAGUGUGAACGGUAUUACAAGAUUGGUCUUUCGAUGUGAACCGUAUCUAUCUUAUAGAGGUUGUGUUGCAGUUGUGCAUUAACAUACUAAGCACAUUAUCAUUUUGCUUUCGAUUUGUUCCAGAGGCUCUAGAUUUGACUCAUAUAUAUGGAGGAAAUCACGUAAACAUGAAUGCAACUCCUCAAGAUUUACCACAAUCCGGUUCAACAUCAGAGCACAUUACUAAAGGAUGUGUCGUGAGUGUCUCCAGACCAUCUAAGAAAGUUAUGUUGUCUGAUGAAAAAAGGGAGCAGCUAAACGCCAAGAGGUGAGCUGCGUAUCGGAGGAAAAAAGAGGAGGAAGCAGAAAACGAACAACAUGGAAGUCAACCUGACCAUUCAAUAUCUGGUAUGAUUGUUUGGCUUAAAAUAUAAACAAUGUGUUAUACUUCAUGUUGUACUCUCACACCUUCAUGCAUCUAUCACUAGAUGACAAGAAAAAGCUAAUAAAUGCCCGGAGGCGGACAACAUAUCUUAAGAACAAGGAAAAUGCUGACAUUAACAAGGAACAACUGAAAGCUCCAGGGGUAGAUGGUAAACACGACGGCAAGCAUCUCCAUCAAAAUAUGACUGCCGUUGACACGUCGGGUACGACUAUUUCUAUAUUACAUGCCAGACGUCUAUUGAAUAUUCACCCUUUGUUCAUAACAGAAUGAUUAUUAUCUGAGAUUCCGUCUGUAUGACACCUGCAACCAUAUAUCAGGUAUGCAAAAUGUUCGACGGAGCGCUCUCGCUGAUAUCACUAAUGGGGUGCAAGCUCACUCUAUGCUCCUUCUUGAAAAAAUAGCCAGAAAAAGGCUCAACGGCGAACUACCGUGAAGCACAAAGAUGAUAACAUUCCUGCCCUUACAAUUUCAGGUUAGAAUGCUUUUCAUUUCAGCUACCUUUUGAUACUAUAUAUAUUUCUAAUGUUUUUUACUACCUAUUUUUAGUAAGUAUGCAUGCAACACAAGCUCAUAUCACCUACAUAAAAUACUGGUACCUUUUGUAUCAGUACUAAUUAGCGUUUUAUGCUGUUGUAUAACCAGCCGACCCAACUAGGUCCACCUAUACGUCAUUGUCACAAGAUGAGGCGGUAUUGCCUCAGACCACUACAAUCAGCACAGAUAUCAUUCAUGAUAACCAAUUACCUAGGAAGCAUAGUGGUACUCCCGAUCAAAUGGAGCAAUCAAAUGCGCGGAGGCGAGCAAAAUAUCGGAAACAUCUAGAGGACGGAACGAUCGAUCUUGUAGAAAAAAUAACACGCUGCGAGAAUGGAGGGCAUGCAGCAAAGAGAAGGGGGAGUUAAGUGCUAAAAGAAAGGCAACUUAUGCUUCAAAAAAGAACACCCCGUGCAAAGAAUCCCACGCAAUCCCACGUCCAGACCUAGCAAACUUGUCCCAGACAAAACCCCUCUCUCGGGGCGCUGAAGAUGAUUCAUCUGAUGGUGACCCUCCGACGAUCAUGCCGAAUUCCAUUGGCAGUAGCAAUGGUAUGAUAAUUCUAUUGUCACAUUGUUGUGCUCAUUCCCUUCAACCCUCAUCUGACAUGACGUUGUCUAUUGUCAAAAUCGUCUGGGAGAUAAUGCAGACGACAUCGAUGGGUUCCGAGACUGCAUCAUGGGCGAUGAGACGACACCAUCCGACUUUAUGGAUGACGAGUACUACAUGUUUCGCGGUGAAGGUAUUGUAAGCUAUAAACUAAUAUUUCGUGGAUCUUUAUCAUAAUUAUAGUUCUUAGUUAAUAAUGUUUCGAACAUCAUGUUUCAACAAAUUCACGUAGGAUCCGAUAAUAACACCUUGGAGGAUGACGAGGAAGCGAUCGCGUCGUCUGCUAUACCUAGCAAGGUUGAUCCAUUAGACUUUGUGUACACAAACAUCCCAGACACCACACACAUCCUGAAGCUCGACGCAAACUGCAAACACUGCCAGGCCAGAAAGUUUGUGUCUGAUACUGACGGUUUCUACUGUCGCAAUGGUCAAAUCAGGCUUAAACAACCGGAACCAAUCCCAGAGCUGAUGAGGCUAUGGUCAAGCAUGGAUGCAGACUCUAGACAUUUUCGGGAGAACAUACGCUUCUUCAACGGGCAUUUCGCCUUCACAACCCUUGGCGUCAGCCUUGAUGAGAACUACACAAACAUGAGGUCUGUGGUGUACACAUUCCGGGCACACGGCACCAUCUACCACAAUGUGCAUUCGUUCGGGCCUAGCUCCCGUCUAGAGCAUCUGCAGUUGUACUUUUAUGAUGAUGACCCAACCUCACUCAUCAUAAGGCGGCCACCAAGCAAUUAGACCAGGAUGUCGUGAAGAAGUUAGUAGACAUACUCAAAGAAAACCCGUACUCGCAGCAAUUUAGGAGUUUGGGUGCACACAAGGACAACCUCGAUGAUUACAGGAUAGACCUAAACACCGAUAAAAGGCUUGACCAAAGAAGAUAUAACAGACCGUUGUCAUCUGAGGUCGCUGCAAUUUGGGUUGAGGGCAGCGACAUAGCAAAAAGGUUUGACCGGAGGAUAACACUUUGUGGUAAUAACAACGAAAGGCAUAGUAUACGUGUGAUCUCCGGAGCAUAUGACCCUUUGUCUUAUCCACUAUUCUAUCCAAGGGGGGAACUAGGUUGGCAUCCGAAGCUACCUAAACGUGAUGUUCUUUGGGAGGUUGUACAAAAUCCUCAACUGGUCCACGAUGAUGAUGAGGAUGCAGGUAUGCCGUCUGCUUCCCAUUUUGCUGCAAAUAAUAUUUUAUUUGUCGAUUAUAUCCUCAUUUGGAUAGUACUCAAUCAUGUGCAGAGGGCAACAGCCGGUUGUGCGUCUCUGUCAGAGACUACUACUGUUACAUGCCGCAGACACGGCCUGCGAUCUAUAAUCCCAUACUUUGCGGAGCACGCCUCUUGCAGCAAUGGGCCGUCGACAUGUACGUCAAGAUUGAAAGUUGUCGGUUGAGGUGGUACAGGGAGAACCAGACGCAGAUUCGUGCCGACUUGUAUAAAGGAGUUGUUGAUGCGAUCACAUCGGGGGAGACACGAGCAAGCGCUGUUGGGGUAAGAAUAGUUCUUCCUGGAACAUACCCUGGUGGCGACCGCGACAUGAAGAAGAGGCAUAUGGAUGCCAUGGCAAUUGUCCAUACAUACGGGAAGCCAGACAUCUUCUUGACCAUGACUUGCAAUCCUAAAUGGGAAGAGAUAACGAAUGAGUUGCUGCCUAGUUAGACGGUGCAAGACCGACCUGAUCUUGUGGCUCGCGUGUUCUUCGGCAAACUAGAGGCUAUGAAGGACAUGUUGUUCAAGAAGCACAUCCUGGGUGUUGUUGUCGCAUAUGUAUAUGUUGUCGAGUUUCAAAAAAGAGGCCUCCCACACGCACAUUUUUUGUUGAUCAUGGACUCAACGUAUAAGCUUCUCGUCCCGGAGCAGUAUGACCGUCUCGUUUCCACAGAGCUCCCAGACAAGCAUAAGUAUCCGGAAUUGUGUACAAUGGUGGUAAAACAUAUGAUGCACGGCCCAUGCGGUGCUCUCAACCCGAAGAAUGUUUGCAUGCAAGAAAAUGGAUGCAAGUGCACAUACCCGCGGCCGUUCAAUGAAAACACAGCACAGGGGAAGGACUCGUACCCAGUUUAUCGCCGUAGAGACGAUGGAAGGAGUGCUAAGGUCCGAGGGAAGAUGUUGGACAAUAGAUGGGUUGUGCCUUAUAACCCAUACCUUCUGCGGAUGUUCAAUUGCCACAUCAACGUUGAGGUCUGCUCGAGCAUAAAGGCCCUCAAAUAUCUUUACAAGUACAUUUACAAGGGCCAUGAUAAGGCUUCUUUCAGCAUCGACCAGCCCGACAGCAAUGGUAACAUUGAUGAGAUCAAGAGAUACGUUGACGCAAGGUGGAUCACACCUCCGGAGGCUAUGUGGAGGAUAUUUGGCUUUCCACUUUGCGCCAAUUACCCUCCUGUCUUGCAGUUGCCUCUUCAUCUCCCGAAUAUGCACAGGGUUGCAUUCAAUGCGCAGGCUGACUUGAAGAAGGUUGUCGCGUCAGAAAAUGCAUCGAAAUCGAUGUUAACGGAGUAUUUCAAGGUUAACCAGGAACACCCUUGGGCUCGGAAAAUAUUGUACAAAGAUUUUCCGGGAAGCUUUACGUGGCAAAGGAAAACAAAGUGUUGGAGGCCGCGGGUGGAGCGUUUCCAAAUAGGUCGUAUUGUCUCUGCCAAUCCUGCUGAGGGGGAGCGAUAUUACCUGCGUGUUAUGCUCAACCAUGUUACCGGAAAAACAUCCUUUCAGGACUUGCUCACCGUGGACGGCCUGGUUUGUGAUAGCUUUAGAGAUGCUGCUGAAAGGUUGGGACUCAUCGAGGCAGACAGCACGCUCGACGACUGUCUUACUUAAGCAGAGCAGUGGGCGAUGCCUUGUUCUCUUAGGAGGCUCUUCGCAACCAUCUUGGUUCACUGCAAGCCAGGCGACAUGCAAGGUUUAUGGGAUAGACACGACGUGCAGUUGCUUGAAGCUGCGGAAAGAUACGAUCUCCAAAAGUUGAAGUUGAUCUGUGA
rnacentral:lncRNA from 1 species